rnacentral:rRNA from 1 species
UACGAAGGGGGCUAGCGUUGUUCGGAAUUACUGGGCGUAAAGCGCGCGCAGGCGGCUAUCCAAGUCAGUGGUGAAAGCCCGGAGCUCAACUCCGGAACUGCCAUUGAAACUGUUUAGCUUGAGGAUGAGAGAGGUGAGUGGAAUUCCCAGUGUAGAGGUGAAAUUCGUAGAUAUCGGGAGGAACACCAGUGGCGAAGGCGGCGACCUGGGCCAAUAUUGACGCUGAGGUGCGAAAGCGUGGGGAGCAAACAGG